UAAGAAAUAAAAAAAAAAAAAAAAUGGAUGACACAAACGAAAGUAUUUCAAAUGAUAAAGGGCUAAAUAUGAAGAUUAUCCAGUUUAUAUUAAAAAAGUCAGAAGAGUUAGAGAAAGAACAUUUGUUAGUUUCAUUUCUAUGCACACUCUACAUUGUCGAGCAGUUAAGCGAGUAUAUGAAAAAGAGCAAGGUAGAUACAGAGACGAAACAAAUUUUAAUAAAAUGUUUAGAUAAAGCGGAGAAAACUAGACCUUUAUUUGAUAAGCUGGAUUAUAAUAAGUUAGCUGUUUUUUGCGAAGGCCUAUUUGCAGCAGCUGAUAAAAAUGAUCGCACCAAUAAAAUAGAUAAAAGAACAUUAAGGAUGUUUUUUUCAUGUAAAAUUUUUUAUGAAAUAUUAAAUCAUUUUAGAACAUUAAAUGAAGAAGAAAAAAAAAAAUUGAUAUAUGCGAAAUAUAAAACUGUAUAUAUUCAAAAGUGUUUUGAAAAUAAUAUAGAGCCAAAGCCAGGUUCUCCAGUACGAGAAACAAAAGAAAAGUCCAGUUCAGAUUCAGAAAAAAAUAGAUAAAUCAAAUGUUAAUGAAAUAGAAAUGCCAAGGAUAUACGAUAAUAUUUGGAAUGAUGAUUAUAACACAUAUAAAAUCGAACAAAAUAAUUUUACAAAGGACCAAUAUGAAAUUACACCAAGUUAAAACAAUAUAUGUGUAUAUAUCUAUAUAUAUGUGUAAAUGUACUUAUACGUGUAUACACAUAUGUUCGUUUUUUUUUUUUUUUUUUUUUUUAUUGUCUUAACAGGUAGUAAUAAAAUUAGUGACAAACAAAUAGAUUUUACGUUA
rnacentral:lncRNA from 1 species